GACGGAAGGUGCAAACGUUAUUCGGAAUCACUGGGCUUAAAGGGUGCGUAGGCGGCUUGUUAAGUAGGGUGUGAAAUCCCCCGGCUCAACCGGGGAAUUGCGCCCUAAACUGGCGAGCUGGAGUGAGAUAGGGGUGUGUGGAACUUCCAGUGGAGCGGUGAAAUGUGUUGAUAUUGGAAGGAACGCCAGUGGCGAAAGCGACACACUGGGUCUCAACUGACGCUGAGGCACGAAAGCCAGGGGAGCAAACGGG
rnacentral:rRNA from 1 species